rnacentral:rRNA from 1 species
AUUGAACGCUGGCGGCAGGCUUAACACAUGCAAGUCGAGCGGAGCGAGGGUGCUUGCACCUUAGCUUAGCGGCGGACGGGUGAGUAAUGCUUAGGAAUCUGCCUAUUAGUGGGGGACAACAUUCCGAAAGGAAUGCUAAUACCGCAUACGCCCUACGGGGGAAAGCAGGGGAUCUUCGGACCUUGAGCUAAUAGAUGAGCCUAAGUCGGAUUAGCUAGUUGGUGGGGUAAAGGCCUACCAAGGCGACGAUCUGUAGCGGGUCUGAGAGGAUGAUCAGCCACACUGGGACUGAGACACGGCCCAGACUCCUACGGGAGGCAGCAGUGGGGAAUAUUGGACAAUGGGCGGAAGCCUGAUCCAGCCAUGCCGCGUGUGUGAAGAAGGCCUUUUGGUUGUAAAGCACUUUAAGCGAGGAGGAGGCUACUGGUACUAAUACUACUGGAUAGUGGACGUUACUCGCAGAAUAAGCACCGGCUAACUCUGUGCCAGCCGCCGCCGUAAUAC